rnacentral:tRNA from 1 species
GGCCUGGUAGUUCAGUUGGUUAGAACGCUAGCCUGUCACGCUAGAGGUCCGGGGUUCGAGUCCCCGUCAGGUCGCCA